UCAUGUAUUUCAUCAUGAGAGAACUCUGUCCGCAUCAUCCGAAGUGGUAGAAAGCCCCUUAAGUCAAGGAAGAGCUUUUGCGCCCCUCUCCAGAUUGCAUCGGUAUCAUUUUUAAUUGUUUUGGGCUGAAAAUACGUGCUUAAUUGCUUUACUUUACAAAACCAUGGUACACUCACAUGUUGAUCCAGUUUGAGAAAUUGAUUAUGAAACCCCUGGUUACAUCUGGACGAAAAUGGCAUACAAUACCAAUGGGUCAAGGCAAAUGCGCCCCAAUAAGGCAGGUCUUAGGUAAGAGCAAGAUGAUAUUAGGGCUGCUAGAAGGAAUCAACAUUGUGAACUUGCAGUGUUUAAAAUGAAGCCUGAAUUGCACUAUGGCGAUGAUGACUGCCCGGUUUCUAUUUCAGAUAGCUUUUCAAAGGAUGCCCAACUUAACUUUGAGAUUGAGCUGAUUGAGUUUUCUAAGAUCAAGGCAAGAACUACAAUUGGUUAUUUAUAAUUUUUGUACACUAAAUUCACACUAUACGGACCUAACUUUGAUGUGAAGCUGCUAUUUGAAGCACACACUUAUAAGUUGUCAAUAACUCUAAACUGAAAUUGAUGCAAAAAUUACUUGCAGCC